UGGAUUUCCACGCGGCAAGGAUGUUGGCGGCCCCGGUGCCACGGCCUGGAUCCACCUUCCAGCCUGAUCUCUGGACCACAAAGGAGUUAAAAAGAUACACGCCCGCUUCCCCCACCCCGUGGCCAUAUCUGUCUGCUGCAUGGAGCGUCACUCGAGGAUUUCCUGCGCGUGUGGAUUACAGUGAUGUCCAGCUGCUGCGGAAUCACGCCGGCGGAGCCUUCCUGGUUACACACUGCUGGGUGCUCAAGGUGUGCGGGAAGCCCUGGCUGCGAGCGCCGAGCCUCGUGGAUUCCGCAGCCGGGAUGCCCGGGGGGGACGGAGGACCCCAGCUUCCUGAGCUCGCAUCUUGGACAGGAAUGUUUGCCUGGGUCUUUCCAGCUCCCUGCGGGGCUCCCCAGGAAACGAUCCUGGGAUUUAGGUGCCUUUCGCCUAAAAACACACGUGUCCAUUCAACACUCCGGAGGGACCCGAGCGCUGGCCUUCCCUGGACUCCAGCGGUAACGCCUUGAGCUUGGAGGAGGGAGCACGGUCCCCGGCUGCGGCGUGUCUUCAAACAGCCCGCCCAUCACUUUGGGACCCUUCUCCUCCUGCAAACCUGAAGGAUUGAAUGCCACCCCAGGCUGAACGUCCUCCUGGAGUGUUAACUGUGGAGGUGGAACUGAUAUAGUUCAUGGGCACUGCAUUGCACCAUGGACUUGGAUUCCUCGGAAGCCUUAGUGUGACCGGGAGGUCUCAUUAGUUGCUGUGCCAGCCACUGAAAAAACAUGAAGAGUCAGGACACACUGUAGAAGGGAUGGUCUCUGCAGAGGUGCAGUGGAGAACUGCUGGUCAUGCCUGAAGUGCCAGCAUUGGAUGGAUUAAAACAGCAACACCAUUAGCAGCCACCUGCAUGGACACUCGAUGCCACUGUUCUGCUCCAUUAGCUAGAUCUCGUUCACUUCUAACAUCCAAAACAAGCAUGGCAUCCAGUGACCAGGGCUCUGGUCAGGACCAUUUUUGAUCUGCGGCUGGUUGAAUCGAUGGAUGCGGCACCUGAGAAUGUAGAGGGUGGACUUCAAUUGCUGCUAAAUUUCUCCCUGCUGACUUGUCUGGGCUGAUGAGGCACUUUCUGCACUGGGAAAAUGAAGACUGUGAUGUCAUCCCCUCUCUGACACCCUUAUGAUGUAACGUCCUGAAGACUGCAAGGCUCUUGUGCAGGAAGCACGCACCCCAGGCCUCGCAGGGUUGAAUAUCAUCGAGCACUGUGAUGACUCUCUCGAAGCCCAGGGGUGUCUGGAACAUGGUGUCAUUCGCUCUAAUGAGACUUGCUGGAAAACCUACGGGGGACAAGACAUCUUUAUGCGUUGGCCAUUGUGGAGAAUUUCCAGAGAACUGGACACCAGGACCAUGGGGGCUGCUUCUCACAGUUUAUUUAUUUUUUUCUCCAAGAGCUGGUGGGAGAAUUUAUCUCUGGGUAUUAUCCAAUCUGUAUUCUGACCCCUCAUAUUCACUCAACUAAUGGCGGCUUAAGGAAUCAUCUUUUCCAGGGAUCAAAACUUUAUAGUAAGAAUAGCUAACUUUCUUUGACUACUAUUCCCCAAGAGCUCUGUUAAGAGUUUUACAUGCAUUUUCACAUUUAACUCUACAAGGAAGAUAGAUUUUUUUUUUUACUUUAAGACAAAUGAGGCAUGGAGAGCCUAAAUAACUUGCCCAAGAUCACAAAGCUACUGAGUCCUAGAGCUACAAAAUGAACCCAGCUGUCGAUUGCCAGAAGGACUAAAUAAGAUAAUGCAUGGAAAGGACUUGCCCGAGUAUUUGGUACAGAGUAGGCACUCAAUAAAUGUUAGCUAUUAUUAUUGCAUACUCUGUCCCCCUCUUUUUUUGGACAGUGGAAUGUGGCAGAGAGGGCAGUUAAUGAUGCAAGCCUGUUGGUGCCCUCAAGUACCCACUGACUGACUCCUUUGCCUGCCACUCACCCUACUGGGCACCAACCCAGGGCUCUAAGGGAAGCCAUGACUUAUUCCAGCCAAUGGCAAUUAGCUGUCACUUGACUUAACAUUUUGUAACAGGGCUCAGCCCAUGCCAAUUAUGACUCCCGGGGGGUCAUGUGUCACCAGGACAUAACUCUUGAAGAUCUUUUCUUUCCUGAGGACCUGGAUUCAGCAGCCCCUGGGAAAUAACCCAAAUGUAUUGCAACUGUUGUGUGCUAUAUAAAGACAUGUUGGAGAUGGAGUUGGUCCAGGAGGGAUAAGGAGAAGGAAAGCAGUGUGGUUGGGGACCACAGGACCAAGGAUCUUGGCUUAGCAAAUCAAUUAAUUAACCUUGUCUCUUGAGAAAUUCUAACCUUUGUGACAUUGGCCUUAAUGGGACCUUGGUGUGACACUGCAAUGGACCAGGGAUUAGGGGUCAGACAGUUUGGAGACUUUUAUAAAUAGAAUUUAAUUCCGUUUGUAAAACUAGCCUGUGAAGUGUCUGUUAUUUCAUAAAUGAGGAAACUGAGGCUCAUGGUGUCCAUUUUGAGAUGGUUUGAGCCCUUUCCCCCUCUUCUCUCUCCCAAGGUGGGGGAUGUCUAAUAACCAUUUCUAACCUUUUAUGUCCAAACAGAACCUUUGAAUUCCGUUCCCCAAACCUCCCAAAGCUUGCUCUUCCCCCAACCUCCGUGUUUUAUUGACGGACACUCUCAUGUAUCCCGUUCCUUAAGCCAAAACCGAGGGAUCUUCCUGGAUUUCACCAAACCCCUUAUGCCCCACAGCUCCUCUUCACUGAGACCUCUUACCUCCAUCUUGAAAACAUUUUCCAAAUCUGUGUGCUUUGCUCCAAAUAAACCAAAACCUUCCUAGUCAACGCCCCAUCCUCACCCACCUUGACCCCUCUAUUACCUUCCUAACUGGUUUGUCAUCUUCCUUUGCCCCCCUCCAAUCUGCUCUCUACACAGUUACCGAGCAGAUGUUUUCCCCAAUGAAAAUACGCUCCAUCUCUGAUCUGUGUAACAUCCUCAAAUACGACACUUAAAGUAAAACCCGCGCCCUAACCAGUUUGGCUCAGUGGAUAGAGUGUCAGCCUGCGGACUCAAGGGUCCCAGGUUCGA